rnacentral:SRP_RNA from 1 species
CAUCGGGCCCUGUGCAGCAGGGUGCUGUGAACCCCGCCAGGUCCGGAAGGAAGCAACGGUAAGCAGUUAUUCUGGGUGCCGCAGGAUUACCUGCUGGCC